UAAUACCUUUAAGCGCCAGCACUUGUCGAAAUUUUGGUUUUGACACCAAAACUUUUGGUUUUUGUGGGAAAAUUGUUUUUUUUUUUGCAAGUCCUUUGUUCCAUCCUCUGUUCACCGACACCAUCUCAUGAACUCCCCGACAUACAUCUUCUUCCUCCUCCGUCAACUAAGAGAAUCUGGGUCUCACUUCUUCUCUCAAGAGACUAGUAGUUCAAACCUCACUAAAGGAGAAAAGUAGAAAACCCAAGAUGUCAAUAACUCUUCAAAGGUCGCUGCGGGAAUUGGAAGAGUUUCCAAGUCCGUUAGUCUCGUAACUCGCCGUACGUCCGCCGGCCUGGCUUCUCCGGUGGCCCCUACGCCUUCUCAUCCGUCACAACCCGAUGAUGUCAAUAAACCAGAUGUUUCCCAGUCCGUUUCCACGAGUGUUAGACCCAUAACUCGCCGAUCUAGGUUUUCUUGCCUCUGCGCCGCCUCGGCCUCGCUCUGGUGUUGAUGACAAGGAUGUUACUGAGCCUUACUCCGCUUGCGCGGUUUGAAGGAAGGCUUCGGGGAGAAAAAGAAGUAAAAACUCUUCUUCCUCUAAGAAAAGGAUUCAUCUGAAGGUUCAGCUGUUAUCUCUUCCUUGACUGCUUCUCUAAGGUUCCGGGGUGCAUUGAACGUGGAUGAAAUCUCCGCAGAGAAAGCCUUCCACAAGCAAUCUCUGUUGCUGAGAUCACCAACAAUGAGGAGCUUAAUAAGUUGCUCUAUUUCAUCAGGAUUAGUGACAAGCGACGAGUUGGAGAUGCAGUGGUGGAUUCGGAGAUGCAGCGGCGUUGAGACAGGUCCAGGACGGAGUGAGAAGCAGAACUCGAUGCAGAGGAGCUCGUGAAGAUGUUAAUCGAGAAGUUAUUGUGUGUAUAUGUUGUCUCGGAGAUUUGAGUUCGUGAGAUUUGAGUUGUGUUCGUACUUUGUCUUUGUGUCUUGUUUUUACUAGUAUUAAGCUAGUUUAACUUGUUCUUUGAUUUUGUUUAUGACUAGAUUUGAUGGUUACAUGUUCAUGUGUUUCGUGUA